rnacentral:rRNA from 1 species
GACGAACCGAGCGAACGUUGUUCGGAAUCACUGGGCUUAAAGGGCGCGUAGGCGGGCUAUCAAGUCCGGGGUGAAAUCCUCCAGCUCAACUGGAGAACGGCCUCGGAUACUGAUGGCCUCGAGGGAGAUAGGGGCACGCGGAACUGUGGGUGGAGCGGUGAAAUGCGUUGAUAUCCAUAGGAACUCCGGUGGCGAAGGCGGCGUGCUGGAUCUCUUCUGACGCUGAGGCGCGAAAGCCAGGGGAGCAAACGGG